rnacentral:rRNA from 1 species
CCUACGGGGGGCUGCAGUGGGGAAUAUUGGACAAUGGGGGGAACCCUGAUCCAGCCAUGCCGCGUGUGUGAAGAAGGCCCUCGGGUUGUAAAGCACUUUCAGUGAGGAAGAACGCCUGGUGGUUAAUACCCAUCAGGAAAGACAUCACUCACAGAAGAAGCACCGGCUAACUCCGUGCCAGCAGCCGCGGUAAUACGGAGGGUGCGAGCGUUAAUUGGAAUUACUGGGCGUAAAGCGCGCGUAGGUGGCUUGAUAAGCCGGUUGUGAAAGCCCCGGGCUCAACCUGGGAACGGCAUCCGGAACUGUCAAGCUAGAGUGCAGGAGAGGAAGGUAGAAUUCCCGGUGUAGCGGUGAAAUGCGUAGAGAUCGGGAGGAAUACCAGUGGCGAAGGCGGCCUUCUGGACUGACACUGACACUGAGGUGCGAAAGCGUGGGUAGCAAACAGGAUUAGAUACCCCGGUAGUC